rnacentral:misc_RNA from 1 species
GCCUUAAUCCCAAACUAGUUGGGUGUCAAGCAUAUAAAUCCUUUUUCCCCAUUUAGCUCUGUUGGACAUCAAGUCCGCAUCAAUAUCCAAAGCUUGUGAAACAAUAAUAAUAUAAGGCCAAUGCAACAGGAAAGAGCUAUUUGAUACUUGAAUGCUAGCAUAUCUGGCCUUAUAUCCCCAUUCAAUCAGCUUGAUCCUCCUCUCACCAUUUGAUUCAAAAUUUGAGUGAAACAUAUAUUUAUAUCAGUGCAUGUAAAAACUACUAAAAAGGCAAGUAAACAACUUGUAAUUUUGCUACAUUUUAAGUAAUCUCAAAACCAAGAACCAGGAAAUAUUCCUAAAAAAUGAUAGAAGAGACUAAUUCAUAAAAUUUUAUUAUAAAAUACCUUGGGUUCAUGGCCCUUCAUGGUUGUAGCAAAAAAGAAGAAC